AAUGAAUAUAGUCAUCACAUAAGGUUUACGUGAAUUGACCAAACGUCAAACAAUCUACGUGAAUUUCCAGUGUGAAAAACUCGAUUUUGAAAAUGGCGAGCAGUGGCCCUCGAAGUUAUGAAAGUUUCCAUGUGUUCAACUGGACCGAGUGCCUGCGUGAGUCCGGAAGUUUACCCGCUCCUGCCGAAUGCUUCAAACAGACCAUCGGUAUGAAGCUAGAGACACUGGAACCAGGUAAUGCGACUUCAACCUGAAUCGGUAGUGUUGUGGGAGUUCUUGGAUCUCGACUUCGGCUUCGGUUGGAUGGCAGUGACAACAUAAACGAUUUCUGGAGGCUUGUCGAUUUGAGAUACCACGACAUUAUUAGUUGCAGUUAUAUGACAAUUUUCUGAAAUAAAUGUUUUAUAUUUCAUGGCAUUUUUCAUUUCAUAGAUUUAUAUCAAAAUCUGGAAUCUCCCUUUCGACUUCAACCAAUAUAUAAAAUAGUAAUUUUCUGGUAUCUAAAUUUGAUAUGAUUUGAUAGAUAAAUGUGAUAUGAACAGUACAUUACAUUUUACCUAUGAAACACGUAACUUUUACUGGAUUAUGCAUUAAACAGCUUUUAAAUGCCAGUCCAUUAAAACCUACGUGAAAAGUAGGGUGGAAAAUAUUCACAUAACUUUUCACGUAACUAUAAUAUGAUUAUUAUUUUGAGUGCAGUCUAGAUGACAGACAGGAUGUUUUUGAUAGGGUGACGUGGCGCCAUCAUGACAUAUUCGAGUACUGUCCCAACUAAAGGAAUAUUCAAAAUGAUCGUUAAAAUGAUUGAAGAAUCCAAUUUUAGUACCCUAUCUGUUAGUCUGUGAUAAAUAUUUGGAUUUUAUAUCAGGUUUGCUUAAACCAUCGUUGCGAAGUGCGAAACAAACACAGUUUCGUGAAAAUUGUUUGUUUGAUGAAACUGCUCUGGGUCAGUUGCAGUUUUCUCAAGCGAAAACGACAUUAAGCUUAUCUAACGUCAACAAGGGAAUGUGAGCAAAUGCAUUUGAUCAAAGCAACCCCGUCAGAAACGCUUCAAAAUAUUUUCAAUCAGUAGGUAAUAGAAUAUUACUACUAAUCGAAAAGAAAUUGACUAAUCUCGAAGCACUUUUCAAUAUGUUUAUUUCCUUGAAUAUUCAAUUUGCACCCGUAGGUAUAUAGUAAACAAAGAUGUGUUCCACAUCAAAACAAAUAGUGAAAUACUCACCAUUUCC